rnacentral:tRNA from 1 species
CAGAGAAUAGUUUAAGUAAAAUAUUAGUUUUGGGAAUUAAAGAUAAAGUCUUCUUUCUUUUUCUCUGA